AACGAACGCUGGCGGCAGGCUUAACACAUGCAAGUCGAACGCAUCCUUCGGGGUGAGUGGCAGACGGGUGAGUAACGCGUGGGAACGUGCCCUUCAGUUCGGAAUAACCCAGGGAAACUUGGGCUAAUACCGGAUACGUGCGAGAGCAGAAAGAUUUAUCGCCGAAGGAUCGGCCCGCGUCUGAUUAGCUAGUUGGUGAGGUAAUGGCUCACCAAGGCGACGAUCAGUAGCUGGUCUGAGAGGAUGAUCAGCCACAUUGGGACUGAGACACGGCCCAAACUCCUGCGGGAGGCAGCAGUGGGGAAUAUUGGACAAUGGGCGCAAGCCUGAUCCAGCCAUGCCGCGUGAGUGAUGACGGCCUUAGGGUUGUAAAGCUCUUUCGUCCGGGACGAUAAUGACGGUACCGGAAGAAGAAGCCCCGGCUAACUUCGUGCCAGCCGCCGCAGUAAAAC
rnacentral:rRNA from 1 species